UCAAAGUGUGUGCUUGGAGAUAUUCUGGAGAGUUUUACAGAUUCUUCAACUGUCCAAGAUUUUGCCAAGAGUUUUCUUUUUACUGUUACAAGUAAGUUUAAUCUAUAGGAAAAGGUUACUGAUUGCACAAGGUUUGAUUUCCUGUUGGUAAUUUGGUAAGAUUCAUCUAUAGAAAAAGGUUACUAAUUGCACAAGGUUUGAUUUCC